CAGUAGCCGCGGGAAUACGAAGGGUGCAAGCGUUACUCGGAAUUACUGGGCGUAAAGCGUGCGUAGGUGGUGGUUUAAGUCCGUUGUGAAAGCCCUGGGCUCAACCUGGGAAUUGCAGUGGAUACUGGGUCACUAGAGUGUGGUAGAGGAUAGUGGAAUUUCCGGUGUAGCAGUGAAAUGCGUAGAGAUCGGAAGGAACAUCUGUGGCGAAGGCGACUAUCUGGGCCAACACUGACACUGAGGCACGAAAGCGUGGGGAGCAAACAGGAUUAGAUACCCCCGAGUCCCUGUCUCUUAUACA
rnacentral:rRNA from 1 species